UACGUAGGGUGCGAGCGUUGUCCGGAAUUAUUGGGCGUAAAGAGCUCGUAGGCGGUCUGUCGCGUCGAUCGUGAAAACUUGGGGCUUAACCCUGAGCUUGCGGUCGAUACGGGCAGACUAGAGUGUGGUAGGGGAGAUCGGAAUUCCUGGUGUAGCGGUGAAAUGCGCAGAUAUCAGGAGGAACACCGGUGGCGAAGGCGGAUCUCUGGGCCAUUACUGACGCUGAGGAGCGAAAGCGUGGGGAGCGAACAGG
rnacentral:rRNA from 1 species